AGAGUUAAACAGUACGUGAAAUUGUUGAAAGGGAAACGAUUGAAGCCAGUCGUGCUGGCGGGAAAUCAGCUUUCGGGAUUACUGGAAGUGCACUUUCUCGCAAGGCAGGUUAGCAUCAAUUUUGGUUAUCAUAUAAAAAUUGAGGGAAGGUGGCUUUUCUUCGGAAAAGUGUUAUAGACCUUAAUAAAUGUGGUGACUGGGAUUGAGGUUUGCAGCGGAUACCCUUUAGGGCUAGUCACCUGACUUCUGACGGUUACCCUGUCUUCGAACGUUGAUGGGAUUUAACUGUCUAGAUGUUAGACUGAACAUAAAUUCGCUAAGGAUGCUGACGUAAUGGCUUUAAACGACC
rnacentral:rRNA from 1 species